CGACUGCCACCAUGCCCGAAGGCUGGAACGAGGAGGACGACGGAUUGUGGGAAGCUCCAGAAGUGUCCAACGCCGCGGCCCUCAGAAGCAACCCGAGGUUCUU
rnacentral:ribozyme from 1 species